GUCUUCUCUAACCUAAUAUGUAUCUCUCUCCAACCGCAACCGCAACCGCAACCUCCAUCACCACCGCCAUAUCCUAGUCACCAACAUCGUAUCCCGCAACCACCACCACCAAAUUUGUCCACCAAGCCCCACCACCACCAUCGAAUCCAGCCACCACAGUCGGAAAUUGAUAUCGGAAGGAAGUUGCAGCUUAGCCGCCGGAAGAAUGACGAUUUCAUUCUAGUUCUCCGCUUGAAACGAUCCAUUGACGGCGACAUUUUCUCUGGUUUUCGUUAAACUGAAUGGUGACGGUUUCUCGAAUUGUUUAGUUUGAACGGUGGUUGUUGAUUUGGGGAAAUUGCUUGGUUGUUGAUUGUGGAACUAAAGCUUGCAGAUCUGUCAAAUUAGUCUUGUAGUGGUGUGUAGGUUUUGGCAACGGUGGUGUGUUGGAUGAUUCGAAAUUCAUCACCAGGGCAAAAGGGUAUUUUUGUUGGGUUUAUUUAGUAUGAAGGUUUUUAUUUAGUAUUUGAAUUCUACUAUAAAUAUGGGUUAGAUUUAUGUAUUGAUUAAGCAAUUAAUAGAGUGCAGUAAACAAAUUUCUUUUCUUCCUUUAUUCCUUUUCAACGCAAAUUUGCUGUUGAGUUUUGUGAUCUUUGAUUCAAGGCUCUUGAUAUCCAUUAUGAUGGUUUGAUUAGGCGUAAUGGAGGUGGUGGCUCAUGGAUAG
rnacentral:lncRNA from 1 species